AAUCCAUAGGUUAAUGAGGCGAACCGGGGGAACUGAAACAUCUAAGUACCCCGAGGAAAAGAAAUCAACCGAGAUUCCCCCAGUAGCGGCGAGCGAACGGGGAGGAGCCCAGAGCCUGAAUCAGCAUGUGUGUUAGUGGAAGCGUCUGGAAAGGCGCGCGAUACAGGGUGACAGCCCCGUACACAAAAGCGCAUGUGCUGUGAGCUCGAUGAGUAGGGCGGGACACGUGGUAUCCUGUCUGAAUAUGGGGGGACCAUCCUCCAAGGCUAAAUACUCCUGACUGACCGAUAGUGAACCAGUACCGUGAGGGAAAGGCGAAAAGAACCCCGGCGAGGGGAGUGAAAAAGAACCUGAAACCGUGUACGUACAAGCAGUGGGAGCACCCUUCGGGGUGUGACUGCGUACCUUUUGUAUAAUGGGUCAGCGACUUAUAUUCUGUAGCAAGGUUAACCGUAUAGGGGAGCCGGAGGGAAACCGAGUCUUAAUUGGGCGUUAAGUUGCAGGGUAUAGACCCGAAACCCGGUGAUCUAGCCAUGGGCAGGUUGAAGGUUGGGUAACACUAACUGGAGGACCGAACCGACUAAUGUUGAAAAAUUAGCGGAUGACCUGUGGCUGGGGGUGAAAGGCCAAUCAAACCGGGAGAUAGCUGGUUCUCCCCGAAAGCUAUUUAGGUAGCGCCUCGUGAAUUCAUCUCCGGGGGUAGAGCACUGUUUCGGCUAGGGGGCCAUCCCGGCUUACCAACCCGAUGCAAACUGCGAAUACCGGAGAAUGUUAUCACGGGAGACACACGGCGGGUGCUAACGUCCGUCGUGAAGAGGGAAACAACCCAGACCGCCAGCUAAGGUCCCAAAGUCAUGGUUAAGUGGGAAACGAUGUGGGAAGGCCCAGACAGCCAGGAUGUUGGCUUAGAAGCAGCCAUCAUUUAAAGAAAGCGUAAUAGCUCACUGGUCGAGUCGGCCUGCGCGGAAGAUGUAACGGGGCUAAACCAUGCACCGAAGCUGCGGCAGCGAACGUAUCACCCAAGACAACUUUACGGAGUUGACGAUUGACGGAGCGAAGCGACGUCAAAGCGUUCAUUAAAGUCGAGUUGGCUUAGGGAUACGUUCGUUGGGUAGGGGAGCGUUCUGUAAGCCUGUGAAGGUGUGUCGUGAGGCAUGCUGGAGGUAUCAGAAGUGCGAAUGCUGACAUAAGUAACGAUAAAGCGGGUGAAAAGCCCGCUCGCCGGAAGACCAAGGGUUCCUGUCCAACGUUAAUCGGGGCAGGGUGAGUCGACCCCUAAGGCGAGGCCGAAAGGCGUAGUCGAUGGGAAACGGGUUAAUAUUCCCGUACUUGGUGUUACUGCGAAGGGGGGACGGAGAAGGCUAUGUUGGCCGGGCGACGGUUGUCCCGGUUUAAGCGUGUAGGUGUGUGUUCCAGGUAAAUCCGGUUCACUUUAACACUGAGGCGUGACGACGAGGCACUACGGUG
rnacentral:rRNA from 1 species